GAUGAAGAACGCAGCUAAAUGCGAAAAGUAAUGCGAAUUGCAGAAUUCAGCGAGUCAUCGAGUUUUUGAACGCACAUUGCGCCCCUUGGUAUUCCAUGGGGCAUGCCUGUUCGAGCGUCAUUUGUACCUUCAAGCUUUGCUUGGUGUUGGGUGUUUGUCUCGCCUUUGCGUGUAGACUCGCCUUAAAAUAAUUGGCAGCCGGCGUAUUGAUUUCGGAGCGCAGUACAUCUCGCGCUUUGCACUCAUAACGACAGCGUCCAAAAGUACAUUUUACACUCUUGACCUCGGAUCAGGUAGGGAUACCCGCUGAACUUAAGCAUAUCAAUAAGCGGAGGA
rnacentral:misc_RNA from 1 species